GCAGCCACGUCAGCAGGCCUGGUCAGCAGUCCCGGCCAACCGGGGCCUGCCACGUGGCAAGAUCGCGUCACUCCGAAAGGAGCCACGUUGGCGAUCCGCGUGGGUGCGAUCCGACGGCCCAGAUCAAUCGCGCGAUCGGACGGCCCAGAUUCAAUCGCACGGACGGCCCAGAUUCAAUCAAAAACGAACGGCCCAAAUUAAAACGAAAUGGACGGCUGAGAUCAAAAGGCAAGGGGUUAUAAAUAGAACCCCCACACCAGACCACAAACCCUAGCCGCCCGCCGCUCGCCGGAGAAGACGAACCAGAGGCCGACC
rnacentral:lncRNA from 1 species